rnacentral:rRNA from 1 species
CACGUAGGGCGCAAGCGUUGUCCGGAAUUAUUGGGCGUAAAGAGCUCGUAGGCGGUCUGCCACGUCCGCUGUGAAAACCUAGGGCUUAACCCUGGGCUUGCAGUAGAUACGGGCAGACUAGAGGUAGGUAGGGGAGAAUGGAAUUCCCGGUGUAGCGGUGAAAUGCGCAGAUAUCGGGAGGAACACCGGUGGCGAAGGCGGGUCUCUGGCCGAUACUGACGCUGAGGAGCGAAAGCGUGGGGAGCGAACAGG